UACGUAGGGUGCGAGCGUUAAUCGGAAUUACUGGGCGUAAAGCGUGCGCAGGCGGUCUGUUAAGACCGAUGUGAAAUCCCCGGGCUUAACCUGGGAACUGCAUUGGUGACUGGCAGGCUUUGAGUGUGGCAGAGGGAGGUAGAAUUCCACGUGUAGCAGUGAAAUGCGUAGAGAUGUGGAGGAACACCGAUGGCGAAGGCAGCCCCCCUGGGCCAACACUGACGCUCAGGCACGAAAGCGUGGGGAGCAAACAGG
rnacentral:rRNA from 1 species